rnacentral:lncRNA from 1 species
AGUAUAAGCUUUUGUGAUGCAUAUUUAACUGCUUUGUUUGUGAAUUUCAGCUAAGGAAACAGAUUACCUUCUUCAUGUGCUAAUACCCCAGAGUUCUUGGUAUCAGAUUUCCAGGAAACUUUGAAAACCUCAUAUUAUGUGGAGUUUCUUCUUAUCACGUGGAGUUUCUCGCUGCACCCAACGGCUUCAUGUCUGCUGGAGUUGAGUCAGGCUAAGACUGCUGACCCCGAGGAGUGGAACAUCCUGAAAGAAAGGUGUUCUUUCCUCUCAGGCAGAGGAGAGCCUUGCUGGUGAAACAAGGAGAAACAUCCUGGGAACCAUAUGAUAAAGGUAAAAAUCUGGCAAUGUUGUCAUCAUGCUUUUCUAGUUUAAAAUAUAUACACAGG